UGGGGANUAUUGCACAAUGGGCGCAAGCCUGAUGCAGCGACGCCGCGUGAGGGAUGACGGCCUUCGGGUUGUAAACCUCUGUUAGCAGGGAAGAAGAGAGAUUGACGGUACCUGCAGAGAAAGCGCCGGCUAACUACGUGCCAGCAGCCGCGGUAAUACGUAGGGCGCGAGCGUUGUCCGGAAUUAUUGGGCGUAAAGAGCUUGUAGGCGGUUUGUCGCGUCUGCUGUGAAAGGCCGGAGCUUAACUCCGUGUAUUGCAGUGGGUACGGGCAGACUAGAGUGCAGUAGGGGAGACUGGAAUUCCUGGUGUAGCGGUGGAAUGCGCAGAUAUCAGGAGGAACACCGAUGGCGAAGGCAGGUCUCUGGGCUGUAACUGACGCUGAGAAGCGAAAGCAUGGGGAGCGAACAGGAUUAGAUACCCUGGUAGUCCAUGCCGUAAACGUUGGGCACUAGGUGUGGGGGACAUUCCACGUUUUCCGCGCCGUAGCUAACGCAUUAAGUGCCCCGCCUGGGGAGUACGGCCGCAAGGCUA
rnacentral:rRNA from 1 species